GAGCCCGUGGCUCAAUGGUUAGAACAUUGGACUUCUAAACCAACAGGUCGCGGGUUCG
rnacentral:tRNA from 1 species